CCCUUCGCCGCUGUCACUCGUGGGUCCCACCUUUUCUCAGCUCUGCACAGCUACCCCAGAAGCCGGGAUCCCAGGAAAGGCGGAGACCCCCUGUCUGAGACCAGGAGACAAAGAUCUCCCCGUCCUGGAGUGGGGCCAGCCCUCAGCCACGCGACUCCGGGACUGCGACAUCAGGACGGGGACACGCCCCGCGGAGCCCACUGCGCCCCGUGUGUCAGGGCCAGGAGCUGCCGCCCAGCCGGCCUCUCUCUGCCCUCGUCCCGAGCAGUGGCCUAGAGGGCCCAGCCUGCCCGCCCCAGGCCCUGGACCCCGCCC
rnacentral:lncRNA from 1 species